AUGCAUCAGGAGUGAAUUUUUAUUAGCUCUAUUUGAGUUUUUGAUAAGAACUUCAUCAUUUUAGCAGUUUCAGAACAGUAUCUACUUGAGCUGACCAUAACUUCAAGAUUUAUGUGUGAAUGUGAUUCAGAACAAUAACAUCUUAUAAUGGAUCCUUUAAGAAAUAAUUAUAAUAAAUUCAUAAGUUUUUAAUGACACAGUGAUAUUAUAGCUUUAA